rnacentral:rRNA from 1 species
GAGGUAACGCGCUGAGGAGUGCUGAACAGGGAGAGUAAUCGCAUCGGAACGUGGCCCUGAAGUGGGGGGAUAACGCAGCGAAAGUUUGCGCUAAUACCGCAUAUUCUGUGAGCAGGAAAGCAGGGGAUCGCAAGACCUUGCGCUUUAGGAGCGGCCGAUGUCGGAUUAGCUAGUUGGUGGGGUAAAGGCUCACCAAGGCGACGAUCCGUAGCGGGUCUGAGAGGAUGAUCCGCCACACUGGGACUGAGACACGGCCCAGACUCCUACGGGAGGCAGCAGUGGGGAAUUUUGGACAAUGGGGGCAACCCUGAUCCAGCCAUUCCGCGUGAGUGAAGAAGGCCUUCGGGUUGUAAAGCUCUGUCGGCGGGAACGAAACGGCGGGCUCUAACAUAGCCUGUUAAUGACGGUACCUGAAGAAGAAGCACCGGCUAACUACGUGCCAGCAGCCGCGGUAAUACGUAGGGUGCGAGCGUUAAUCGGAAUUACUGGGCGUAAAGCGUGCGCAGGCGGAUUGUUAAGCAAGACGUGAAAUCCCCGGGCUUAACCUGGGAAUGGCGUUUUGAACUGGCAGUCUAGAGUGCGUCAGAGGGGGGUGGAAUUCCACGUGUAGCAGUGAAAUGCGUAGAGAUGUGGAGGAACACCGAUGGCGAAGGCAGCCCCCUGGGAUGACACUGACGCUCAUGUACGAAAGCGUGGGUAGCAAACAAGAUUAAGAUACCCUGGUAGUCCCACGCCCUAAAACGAUGUCAACCUGGUUGUUGGGGGAGUGAAUCCCCUUAUUACGAAAGCUACCCCGUGAAGUUGACCG